UACAUGCAGUCGAGCGGACAGAUGGGAGCUUGCUCCCUGAUGUUAGCGGCGGACGGGUGAGUAACACGUGGGUAACCUGCCUGUAAGACUGGGAUAACUCCGGGAAACCGGGGCUAAUACCGGAUGGUUGUUUGAACCGCAUGGUUCAGACAUAAAAGGUGGCUUCGGCUACCACUUACAGAUGGACCCGCGGCGCAUUAGCUAGUUGGUGAGGUAACGGCUCACCAAGGCGACGAUGCGUAGCCGACCUGAGAGGGUGAUCGGCCACACUGGGACUGAGACACGGCCCAGACUCCUACGGGAGGCAGCAGUAGGGAAUCUUCCGCAAUGGACGAAAGUCUGACGGAGCAACGCCGCGUGAGUGAUGAAGGUUUUCGGAUCGUAAAGCUCUGUUGUUAGGGAAGAACAAGUGCCGUUCAAAUAGGGCGGCACCUUGACGGUACCUAACCAGAAAGCCACGGCUAACUACGUGCCAGCAGCCGCGGUAAUACGUAGGUGGCAAGCGUUGUCCGGAAUUAUUGGGCGUAAAGGGCUCGCAGGCGGUUUCUUAAGUCUGAUGUGAAAGCCCCCGGCUCAACCGGGGAGGGUCAUUGGAAACUGGGGAACUUGAGUGCAGAAGAGGAGAGUGGAAUUCCACGUGUAGCGGUGAAAUGCGUAGAGAUGUGGAGGAACACCAGUGGCGAAGGCGACUCUCUGGUCUGUAACUGACGCUGAGGAGCGAAAGCGUGGGGAGCGAACAGGAUUAGAUACCCUGGUAGUCCACGCCGUAAACGAUGAGUGCUAAGUGUUAGGGGUUUCCGCCCCUUAGUGCUGCAGCUAACGCAUUAAGCACUCCGCCUGGGGAGUACGGUCGCAA
rnacentral:rRNA from 1 species